UAUAUAUAUAUAUAUUCUAUAUUCUUUCUUUCUAGAUAAUGCUAUGGUGGCAAAACUUCCUUAGUAAUAACACAUAACAACGACAGGCCGUUUUUAUUUAGAUUUUUAUUUGGUACAUUUUUUUGGAGGAUACUGAGACACUGAAAUGCAGUAUUUUACAUUGUGGAAUUGCUCCUAAACAUACUAAAGUGAGCAUUUAGUGCUGCAUAAAUAUUCACAUGAUGGAUAAGGUCCCACCAAGGCCUCUUAAUACCAGAAGUUUUAGUCUUGUUCGGACAAUUAUUUUGUCAUCAAUUGAGCCGUGUGUUGCGUGUUCGUGUAUUUGAGCACUGGGUGACUGGAAGAGGGCUGUCAGCACUCAGCUUAUGACCAACAAACACAACGUACACUCUGACCCGAGCUGUCCGUCACACACGGCCUAUCCCUCCCCCUGUAACACAUGACCUGUGUCCUAAUUCCUUCCAGUCCGAUGGACCAGAGGGGGUUUCUACAGGUGCGUGUGUGUUUGUCUAUGUGAGAGAGAGAGAGAGAGAGAGAGAGAGAGAGAGAGAGAGAGAGAGAGAGAGAGAGGGGCACUUUCUGGUAUUGGUUUUUAUUAAAUAUGGAGCUAUAAAUCAACCCUUUUGGAACAAGAGAUGUGAGAUAUUCUUUUUCUCUUCACAGAGGGAUGGAUUGUUCCUUCCACUUUUUACUUCCUGUAUAUGACAGGUUAGCACUCCUGGGACCGAGAAAGAGAGAGAGAGAGCGACGGGGGAGAAUAAGUCAAAAGAGGAUGGAGAGUGAUUGGGGGAAAAUGAUGCUCCGUGGCUGAUGUAUCGCAUGACAGGUGAGGGGCGGGGGUGAGGGUAGGGGGCUGGAGGGAAAAAGAGUGAUUUAGCGGCGGCCUGUACGCUCCUCUCCCCUUAUCCCUGCCCCGCUUCUUUCAUGUCUCAACCCGGGGUCGACCCGCCCGCUGCCCCAGAUGGUGCUGUCUGUCUGCGCUGCCCUCUACAGGAUGUGCCCCCCACCUCACCCCCGCAACUACAGGCCGAUAGUCACUUAAUUGAUUUCAGGGGGAGGGCCCUCUUUCUCUUCUGUUUCAUGCACACACACAUGCACACACACACACACACACACAGAAUGUGCCAACAGCCAGCGCCCUCAGUACACACACAGAAACACGCGGCUGGCGCUGUGCGCUGUCAACGCUAAUUCAAUUUGAGACGCGGAAGUGUGACUAACAGCAGGUCUGCAGAGUGUUUUACCAUAUGCACCACACACACACACACACACACACACACACACACACUCACGCACACAUACGCUCUUUGCUAACAGAUCACUCCAACCGAAGGUAUGAUUAUAAUGUAAUUCCACAAGUAUAAAUCUUAUUAAUAGAUCUCCUCUCCCCCUGUUUCCUCCUCAGCUGUCAUAUCAAGUACAGAAUGGAAGGUCAACUGCUUCUAUUUCAGUCUCACUAUAGUUUCUCUUUCAACUAACUGGGAGAACGUUUGCAGGUCGUAUUCUGUUAAGUAAAUACAACUACCAACGACGGAAUUUGAUUAUUUGUUAUUUGAAUUUUAAACAAGAUAUGUUUGAGAUUAUUGGGAAUGAAAUACAUUAUUGUUGUGAAUUGGUACACAAUAAUAAUAAGGAUAUAUUGAGAAAAGACUAGCCGUGCUUGCUAACUUCAGCAUGCUAACAAUGCUAGCUCUCUGAUGUUUAGCAGGUUUCUUAGCCACCUUAGUUCGGUGUGUUAACAUGCUAACAUUUGCUAACAAGGCUGAUGGGAAUUUCAUCCGUUUUGAAAGUAUUUAGUCAUUCUGGAGAAUUAGAAAAAAGUGACGAUAGUGACAUUAAAAUGAAACAUUAAGAGGUGACUGGAAUUGUUGUUGUGGGAACUCAUUUAAGCGGCGUGGCUUGCUGAGCCAGAACGAGCAAUCCAGUGAGACGAAUCUGGACAAGACCAAAGGCAAUUCCGAGCACAGAGCUCUUAUUUGUUGCCUGUUUGAGGGGAUGAAUCGUAACGUAAUAACGAAGGGGGGCACAUAUCCACACCUCGGUGGAAACAGACUGGCAGACAGCCUCAAUAAAAAGCAAGAGACAAGGCUGCAUGUCCAGGUUUCACGGGUGGUUUGACGGUAAGAGAUAUCGGGGCGGGUGAUGGGGUGAGGUGAGGGUCAAGCGGAGGGAUGGCUGGAUCAGGUGUGUGUGUGUGUGUGUGUGUGUGUGUGUGAGCAGGAGAUUGGUUAGAUCUUGAUGAAGCGGAGAGCAGGGAUGGAUCGGGCCAGCUGUGUCAGCCUGUGUGUGUGCACGUACACGGCGAGGCAGUAAAAACGGAUUAGAAGCAACGUGGACGCAUCUGACAGGAAGCAAUGGUCAAGAGGUGAGUGGAAACUGGGGAGAGCUUUAGGCUGGAACGAUUAGACACAUGCACACGCACACUUCGCUGCAGCAUAUGGAAGGUGGGGAAAGCCCUGGGCAGCAGCGAUUGGUCACACAUGCCCGUCGAUAUCCGAGCAGAACCAAUCAGCUCGGCUUCCUGUGUUUGACCUGACCCUUCAUGCACAGUAAUUGAAUAUUUCAAAUGAAAAAAAGAAACAGUCUUCUGUUUUGGAGUAGAGGGGGUCUCUUCGCUGUCGACACUCACCAUUGCAACAGUAAAGGAGUUGAAGUGUAAAAAUAAUACGGAUACGAAGAAUAAACAAACUGCAAUAUACAAAAGUACUAUUUAUUGUACAUUUCUGUUGAAUUCAUUUAUAAUAUACUAUGUAACAACAACAUCUGUGAGACAUUACGAAAGUUAUUUACGUUUACUGGUAAAUAUAACGUUUAAGUUGGUUAAACUUAAAAAAACAUUUUCAAUAAAUCUGUAUAUUGUUUCUAGUUUAGAUGCAAACGUAACGAUUAAAAGCCGCUAAUCAUCUCAUGUGAGAAGCAUCAGUUUUGCUUGAAAAAAUCUCCGAGACAAUUACUCAAUAAUUAAAAUAGUUUGCUCAUAUUAGGCCACUAAUUUGUUUGUUUUUUUAGCUCCAAGCACUGAUGUCAUUCAUUUGCACCUGUUGUGCUUGUAGACACGUUUUACAUCUGUGGUUGAUAUUUGAACUAUAGCGUCACAUCGCAUAGUGAUGAAAACCUCCUGGAAAUUAUUCAGGGAUAACAGACCCUCUUUCUAGGACUACAGGCAACAAGGUGGAUUCCCUUAUUGCAAUUAGAGUGACUUCACAGAGCCAGCGAGUGUGUGUGUGUGUGUGUGUGUGUGUCUCUCCACCCACCGCGCAGAAGCGGAGGGGUCGGCAAGAGGGACGGGACCACCGGCCGACCGGAUCCCCGCCUGUCAGCAAGCAGCACCCACACCAGAGGGUGUUGACGGCACUGGAGUAAAGCCACUUUGUAUCCUCACCCGACUCACACAAACACGCACAUACAGUAUAUACAUA
ensembl:lncRNA